rnacentral:rRNA from 1 species
UACGAAGGGGGCUAGCGUUGCUCGGAAUCACUGGGCGUAAAGCGCACGUAGGCGGCUUCUUAAGUCAGGGGUGAAAUCCUGGAGCUCAACUCCAGAACUGCCUUUGAUACUGAGGAGCUCGAGUCCGGGAGAGGUGAGUGGAACUCCGAGUGUAGAGGUGAAAUUCGUAGAUAUUCGGAAGAACACCAGUGGCGAAGGCGGCUCACUGGCCCGGUACUGACGCUGAGGUGCGAAAGCGUGGGGAGCAGACAGG